rnacentral:misc_RNA from 1 species
GAGAGAUUGCAUCCAUCAAGGUGCAAUGGAAGAAUCGACCCGUUGAAGAAACCACUUGGGAGAAGUAGGCGGAUAUGCGAGAAAAAUACCCACAUCUGUUUACAGAUUCAGGUACUCCUUUUCGCCCUUGUUUUCCUUCUUGUGAUCGUUCGGGGAUGAACGAUGGGUAAAUUGGUAUCUAAUGUAACGACCUGUUUAGUCGU